GAGUAAUGCCUAGGAAAUUGCCCUGAUGUGGGGGAUAACCAUUGGAAACGAUGGCUAAUACCGCAUGAUGCCUACGGGCCAAAGAGGGGGACCUUCGGGCCUCUCGCGUCAGGAUAUGCCUAGGUGGGAUUAGCUAGUUGGUGAGGUAAGGGCUCACCAAGGCGACGAUCCCUAGCUGGUCUGAGAGGAUGAUCAGCCACACUGGAACUGAGACACGGUCCAGACUCCUACGGGAGGCAGCAGUGGGGAAUAUUGCACAAUGGGCGCAAGCCUGAUGCAGCCAUGCCGCGUGUGUGAAGAAGGCCUUCGGGUUGUAAAGCACUUUCAGUCGUGAGGAAGGUGGUGUAGUUAAUAGCUGCAUUAUUUGACGUUAGCGACAGAAGAAGCACCGGCUAACUCCGUGCCAGCAGCCGCGGUAAUACGGAGGGUGCGAGCGUUAAUCGGAAUUACUGGGCGUAAAGCGCAUGCAGGUGGUUUGUUAAGUCAGAUGUGAAAGCCCGGGGCUCAACCUCGGAAUAGCAUUUGAAACUGGCAGACUAGAGUACUGUAGAGGGGGGUAGAAUUUCAGGUGUAGCGGUGAAAUGCGUAGAGAUCUGAAGGAAUACCGGUGGCGAAG
rnacentral:rRNA from 1 species